GAUGAACGCUGGCGGCGUGCCUAAUACAUGCAAGUCGAGCGAAUGGAUUAAGAGCUUGCUCUUAUGAAGUUAGCGGCGGACGGGUGAGUAACACGUGGGUAACCUGCCCAUAAGACUGGGAUAACUCCGGGAAACCGGGGCUAAUACCGGAUAACAUUUUGAACCGCAUGGUUCGAAAUUGAAAGGCGGCUUCGGCUGUCACUGAGGGAUGUAUCCGCGUCGCAUUAGCUAGUUGGUGAGGUAACGGCUCACCAAGGCAACGAUGCGUAGCCGACCUGAGAGGGUGAUCGGCCACACUGGGACUGAGACACGGCCCAGACUCCUACGGGAGGCAGCAGUAGGGAAUCUUCCGCAAUGGACGAAAGUCUGACGGAGCAACGCCGCGUGAGUGAUGAAGGCUUUCGGGUCGUAAAACUCUGUUGUUAGGGAAGAACAAGUGCUAGUUGAAUAAGCUGACACCUUGACGGUACCUAACCAGAAAGCCACGGCUAACUACGUGCCAGCCGCCGCGGUAA
rnacentral:rRNA from 1 species